rnacentral:rRNA from 1 species
UACGGGGGGGGCAAGCGUUGUUCGGAAUUACUGGGCGUAAAGGGCUCGUAGGUGGCCAACUAAGUCAGACGUGAAAUCCCUCAGCUUAACUGGGGAACUGCGUCUGAUACUGGAUGGCUUGAGUUUGGGAGAGGAUGCGGAAUUCCAGGUGUAGCGGUGAAAUGCGUAGAUAUCUGGAGGAACACCGGUGGCGAAGGCGGCAUCCUGGACCAACACUGACACUGAGGAGCGAAAGCCAGGGGAGCAAACGGG